UACGUAGGGUGCGAGCGUUGUCCGGAAUUAUUGGGCGUAAAGCGUGCGCAGGCGGUUCGUUAAGUCAGCUGUGAAAGCCCCGGGCUCAACCUGGGAAUUGCGGUUGAAACUGGCGAACUAGAAUCUGGCAGAGGGGGGUGGAAUUCCACGUGUAGCAGUGAAAUGCGUAGAGAUGUGGAGGAACACCGAUGGCGAAGGCAGCCCCCUGGGCUGAGAUUGACGCUCAGGCACGAAAGCGUGGGGAGCAAACAGG
rnacentral:rRNA from 1 species